UACGGGGGGGGCAAGCGUUGUUCGGAAUUACUGGGCGUAAAGGGCGCGUAGGCGGCCUUCUAAGUCGAACGUGAAAUCCCCGGGCUCAACCCGGGAACUGCGUCCGAUACUGGAAGGCUUGAAUCCGGGAGAGGGAUGCGGAAUUCCAGGUGUAGCGGUGAAAUGCGUAGAUAUCUGGAGGAACACCGGUGGCGAAGACGGCAUCCUGGACCGGCAUUGACGCUGAGGCGCGAAAGCGUGGGGAGCAAACAGG
rnacentral:rRNA from 1 species